GAUAACGCGUGGCGCGCACAUAAGACAUGCAAGUCGAACGGGACUUAACGUCGAAAGGUUUACUUUGAGAGCGGUUAGUGGCGGACUGGUGAGUAACGCGUGAGCAACCUGCCUAUUAGAGGGGAAUAACAGUGAGAAAUCACUGCUGAUACCGCAUAUGCUUACACUAUCACAUGAUAGAGUGAGGAAAGGAGCAAUCCACUAGUAGAUGGGCUCGCGUCUGAUUAGCUAGUUGGUGGGGUAAUAGCCUACCAAGGCGACGAUCAGUAGCCGGACUGAGAGGUUGAUCGGCCACAUUGGGACUGAGACACGGCCCAG
rnacentral:rRNA from 1 species